CUUUUCUUUCACCCUGAAGGCUGAGUUCAGCGCCUGGCAGGGCCGUCGAUCCCCCCAUGCAAGUUGCCCUAGCGUCUGGCAGGGUAGCUAUUAUGUUUCCUCCACAGCGAUAGAAGGUCAGCUCAGUCACAGUGGCACUGGGGACACAUGUCGUCUCCCACUGAAGCUCCUCGGUGGCAGAUGACUGCAGUGUCAGGUGUUAUGGAGGAGACACAUGGCUGUCUGCAGUCCAAAUCCUGCUCCACACUACAGGGAGCAGUGACUGACGGCUACUGACCAUUACGUCUGUCUUUCCAGUGGACAAAGGUUUAUUAGGAGAAGGAGACGAGGGAACCAGGAGAUGAGCAACGAGACAAUCAAUCUGGACCAAGAGCCGGCAUUCCAAGCAGCCCGGACCUAAGCUGUCAAACCGAUCGAAGGAAGCACAGCUGCACAAUUACGUUCAGUGCAGCUGUGGAGGUUGGAGAACUGUGACAACAGAGACCAUAGGACCACCUGGAGAGAAGUUGUCACCUGUGUCUAUGGAGGCUCAAUGCAAUAACAUCCUGCAGCUCUUCGCUCUCUCCAGCCUCUGGUCCAGACAGAGGGGAGCCUCCCAGUCCUAAUCACAUAGAGGAAGUGUCUUUAUCACUGCUUUCUCUGUGCUGCUGGGUUUGGGAGACUCUUCACAUAACCAGUGGUGUUGGCCUCCAUCUGUAAACAGAAGACGGUCAAGACAAGUGGUUGUCAUAAAUAUUGUGUUUAUAUAUAUAUAUGUAUAUAAUGUAAUUAAGAAAAUAAAAGAACUGCUUUGUCUGAAGAUGCUGUAGAUUAUUUCUUUGUGUUCUACAGUGUAUACCUACUUACCGUUUAGUACUGUAAAUCUGAGCGCUGUGGUGAAAACUACAGAGUGUUACCUUCAUAAAGAGCCCAAACCUUUAGAUAUACUGCUAAUGGUUGAAGAACAGCUUUCGUUUGAAUUUAGGUAUGUUUCCCAGGCGUUUGAGCUGAAAAUGCCUAGAAAUUGCCAUAAUAAUGCAUACUCCAACUCAGAAGGUGGCGGUAAUGCACCACCCAGUUUGCCAAGUGUCAAAUACCCAAAGAAAAAAGACGAAGAAGAAGUCUCGAGAUCUGAUUGGUUAUCGUAACUGUCCGUUCGUGUACAGCGCACAGGAGCCUGUUUUUGUUGGUUCUGAACGCCUCAGGCAGUCCUCAAUGGUCCUAGCAACACAAGCCUGCUGAGAUAUGAUUAGAUAAAGACUUUACAAUAAUAUACAACACUGGAAGCGGCGAAAUCAAGCGGAAAUAAUGAGACGAAGAAAAUACACCAUGGGGAAUUAUUUUAUUUACAAAAAACAACUUUUCACAGUAUGUUGGGGCUAGCAGAAAAGUUAGCUGCCCCUGGCAACCGUAGUGUCAGUAGUGAAGGACUUCCUCGCUGUCUCCAACGUCUGCGUCUCUCCUGCGUUUUCACGCACGUCCGUGCAUGUGCAUAAAUGCCAUGGAAACCGCUGACGCGGAAUGGGUCGUCAUUUGCCCCAGGGCCUUGUGAAGCUCUGGAGUCGCUUCAAGCGUUGGAGAAACCGGAGGAUCCAGCCGGAGCAGCCGGUGGGCGAAGGUGGUCCAGAUGGGC